AGAGUUUGAUCAUGGCUCAGAUUGAACGCUGGCGGAAUGCUUUACACAUGCAAGUCGAACGGCAGCACGGGGGGCAACCCUGGUGGCGAGUGGCGAACGGGUGAGUAAUACAUCGGAACGUGCCCAGUCGUGGGGGAUAACGUAGCGAAAGCUACGCUAAUACCGCAUACGAACUCUGGUUGAAAGCGGGGGAUCGCAAGACCUCGCGCGAUUGGAGCGGCCGAUGGCAGAUUAGGUAGUUGGUGGGGUAAAGGCCUACCAAGCCGACGAUCUGUAGCUGGUCUGAGAGGACGACCAGCCACACUGGGACUGAGACACGGCCCAGACUCCUACGGGAGGCAGCAGUGGGGAAUUUUGGACAAUGGGCGCAAGCCUGAUCCAGCCAUUCCGCGUGCAGGAUGAAGGCCCUCGGGUUGUAAACUGCUUUUGUACGGAACGAAAAGGCCUGAGUUAAUACCUCGGGCUCAUGACGGUACCGUAAGAAUAAGCACCGGCUAACUACGUGCCAGCAGCCGCGGUAAUA
rnacentral:rRNA from 1 species